GUGGAUUAGAUACCCUAGUAGUCCUAGCCGUAAACGAUGGGCACUGGGUAGGGGGCUCGCCGAUGGGCUCUCUGCCGCAGGGAAACCGUGAAGUGCCCCGCCUGGGGAGUAUGGUCGCAAGGCUGAAACUCAAAGGAAUUGACGGGGGCUCACACAAGCGGUGGAGCAUGUGGCUUAAUUCGAGGCUACGCGAAGAACCUUAUCCUGGGCUUGACAUGCAGGGAUUAGGGUGCGGAAACGCACCUGACGCCGCAAGGUGGAACCUGCACAGGUGCUGCAUGGCUGUCGCCAGCU
rnacentral:rRNA from 1 species